rnacentral:rRNA from 1 species
GUACACGCUGUGACUAGCAUAUCAAUAAGCGGAGGAAAAGAAACUAACAAGGAUUCCCCUAGUAACGGCGAGUGAAGCGGGAAGAGCUCAAAUUUGAAAUCUUAAAGGGUUUCCCUUUACGAAUUGUAGUUUAAAGAAGUGUUUUCUGUUGAGGUUUUGGUAAAAGUUCUUUGGAAUAGGACAUCAUAGAGGGUGAGAAUCCCGUAUUUGACCUUUACUUUCAACUUUGUGAUACACUUUCAAAGAGUCGGAUUGUUUGGGAAUGCAGUCCAAAAUGGGUGGUAAACUUCAUCUAAAGCUAAAUAUUGGCGAGAGACCGAUAGCGAACAAGUACCGUGAGGGAAAGACGAAAAGAACUUUGAAAAGAGAGUUAAACAGUACGUGAAAUUGUCAAAAGGGAAGCGUUUGACACCAGUGUUGUUUUUCUGAAAAUCAAUUAAAGAACUGUUUAUGCUAAGCUGUUUAGACUUUAUCAGCUAAUCUGUUUAGUUUUGAGCUUUUCUUUAAUGCACUUUUCAGUUAACAAGUCAACAUCAGUUUCUUUUGCUGUAAAAAAGCUUGAGGAAGGUGGCUUGAGAUUCGUCUUAAGUGUUUAUAGCCUCUUGCCUAUGCAGUCGGAGAGAUUGAGGUCUGCAGCGUAGAUCCUUCGGGGCUAAAUGCAUUUGUGCUAAGUUAUAGCAUUUUAUAGACAACUUGUUGACUAUGACUUGUCUUGUAGCUUACUCGCUUAUGUUAUUUUACCUACGCUUAGGAUGUUGAGCGCAUGUCUCUCUC